ACAAGGAUUCCCCUAGUAGCGGCGAGCGAAGCGGGAAGAGCUCAAAUUUAUAAUCUGGCACCUUCGGUGUCCGAGUUGUAAUCUCUAGAAGUGUUUUCCGCGUUGGACCGCACACAAGUCUGUUGGAAUACAGCGGCAUAGUGGUGAAACCCCCGUAUAUGGUGCGGACGCCCAGCGCUUUGUGAUACACUUUCAAUGAGUCGAGUUGUUUGGGAAUGCAGCUCAAAUUGGGUGGUAAAUUCCAUCUAAAGCUAAAUAUUGGCGAGAGACCGAUAGCGAACAAGUACCGUGAGGGAAAGAUGAAAAGCACUUUGGAAAGAGAGUUAACAGUACGUGAAAUUGUUGGAAGGGAAACGCUUGAAGUCAGACUUGCUUGCCGGAGCUUGCUUCGGUUUGCAGGCCAGCAUCAGUUUUCCGGGGUGGAUAAUAACGGUUUGAAGGUAGCAGUCUCGGCUGUGUUAUAGCUUUCCGUUGGAUACAUCCUGGGGGACUGAGGAACGCAGCGUGCUUUUUGCGAAAGACUCGUCUUUUUCACGCUUAGGAUGCUGGUGGA
rnacentral:rRNA from 1 species